UUCCAGACUCCUACGGGAGGCAGCAGUGAGGAAUAUUGGUCAAUGGGCGGGAGCCUGAACCAGCCAAGUCGCGUGAGGGAUGACGGCCCUAUGGGUUGUAAACCUCUUUUGCCGGGGAGCAAAGUGCCGCACGUGUGCGGUUUGGAGAGUACCCGGAGAAAAAGCAUCGGCUAACUACGUGCCAGCAGCCGCGGUAAUACGUAGGUGGCAAGCGUUAUCCGGAUUUAUUGGGUGUAAAGGGCGUGUAGGCGGGAAUGCAAGUCAGAUGUGAAAACUAUGGGCUCAACCCAUAGCCUGCAUUUGAAACUGUAUUUCUUGAGUGCUGGAGAGGCAAUCGGAAUUCCGUGUGUAGCGGUGAAAUGCGUAGAUAUACGGAGGAACACCAGUGGCGAAGGCGGAUUGCUGGACAGUAACUGACGCUGAGGCGCGAAAGCGUGGGGAGCAAACAGGAUUAGAUACCCGCGUACA
rnacentral:rRNA from 1 species